ensembl:lncRNA
CUUAGGUCAGAUCAGCCUAAUUGAUUCUUAGGUAUCCAUGAGCUUGGACUGACCUUAUUUCUGGGUGGCAAAUGGGUGCUGGUCAUCAGUUCUAGAGUAUCCCUGAUAGAUGUUCAUUGGAGAGUAAAUUCUUGGAGAUCAUGGUUUUAAUGCGAGCUUUGUUCCUAGCGAGGUGUGUAAUUGUGGGACAGUCACAAGUCAAUUCAAUUCUUUAGGCCCUAGUGUUUCUAUGUGUAAAAGUAAGGUGGCAUGUGGGGCCACUGGUUCUCAUCCACUGAUGUGUACUUGGAUGCCUGGGAGUGUACUUUAAAAAAUAAAGUACCAAGCAAAGAUUCUGAUGUAAUUGGACUGAGGUAGGCCCAGGCCCCUUAGGUGAUACUAACAUCCAGCCAAGAUAGAAAAUCCCUGGGCUCAAUAAUCACUGAGAACCGAUUCUGAGAUUGUGUCAUCUUAGGACAGAAAGCAGGCCUGCAAAAUCUGCUUCACAUGACCUGGCCGAGCACGACAUGGGCCAGAUGGUCACCAAGUCCGAAGCGAGCAUCUCAGAAGCAGUCCAGCCCCCUUUCUCUGUGCCCCACCAUGCUCUGCUGCGUUCUCGGUCCCCCUGCAUUCUGGUGAUCAGCUGUGCCUCGAGGUCCCGGGGGACAGUUGCAUCUCCUGGGUAUCCAUGCCAGUGUUUAAUCACCUCUUGAAACUUCUCCUCCAAGUGCUCUGUGACUUGUCAGGGUGCAGGAGAAAGGUGUCAACAAGGGAUAGCGAUGAUCACCUUGAUGGCAGUGGAAAUGUGAGCUCCUCUGUCCCAGCUAAGAUAAAAAGUGGUCCUCACACCUUCUCAAGUUGUCAGAGGCGAUUGAGUUACCAGACCUGGGAGGGGGGAAAGAAAGGACGUUGUUUACCUCACUCAUUUCUUGGGACCUGAUCUCGUUGCCUUGGUGUUGUAAAUUCUGUAGCUGUUGACACUUGAAAACUUGUUCUUAGGUUUAAACUUAUAAAAGUGUGACUCAUGAUCUUCUUUGUGUCUCCUAUCCUGAAAUAGCUAGAAGACCAAAAGGGGUGUGUGUGUGUGUGUGUGUGUGUGUGUGUGUGUGUCCUCCCUGCUCUGUGUGUCUACGUGUGAGCUUGGGGCCGGGGCUCCCUGACUGUUCUUGGCAGUACCCACAGUGAACUAGCAGCCUGUACCCAGUGUUAACCAAUCCCAGGGCCAGACUUCAUUCCGGAUAAUUCCUUGGGUUGGAGAUUUCCCCCCAGUAGAGUUCUUUACCUUUGUGUCUCAGAGUUGCUGCCCUUACUCAUUGUCAAAAAUCCAACUCUCACCAGCUUAGCCACCAGCGCUGCUUGUAUUCACUGCCAUUUUUUAAAAAAACUUUUAGAAUUAGAUUCAUGUUAUGCUGAUCAUUAUUCUCAAAGAGUUCAGGGUAUUGGGCACAUGCUAUUUUAUUAUUUCAUAAUUCAUUCUUCACCCACUGCUUAAAAUGAAUUAAGGUACAAGAGUUACUAAGGAAAGAUGGAUUUGCCAUCAUAACUUUAAUGAAAAACUUAAUUAUUACUAAACUCAAAGGCCCAUGUGUUUAUAUAAACAUUUGUCCUUCCACACACCUAAUUUUUAAGAUGAUAAGACUAGUCAGGGUUAUGCUAGGCCUUAAGGUUACUACUAGUUUGCUUUUUAAAUCUUUACUUCUGCAAAAUAAUAAAGAGGUUGUAAAAUAACUAGAAAUGAUAAAGUGUUUUAACUAGUCACGGUUUCAUUGAACACUUUUGUCUCCAGAGGUAGCAGAGGUGUUGAUUUCUUCCUUUCUCCUUUCUUUCCCUCUUCCUUGAUUCUCUCAUCAUUCAACAGCUGUGGAGUGAAUCCCUACCGUGUGCCUGUCCUCGUGUGGCUCAUGUUCUUGUGGAGCAUGGAGGCGGGACAGAAAUACAAAAGUCAAAUGCAGUGCAGAUGUACUACUGUGUUUCAGACUUGACAGGCGCUGUGAAGAAAAAGAAAGAGGUGGAGUGAUCCGGGAAUAAUAACUGCUGGGUGGUACCAAACUAAGGAUCAUGGGAGGAAUCUUAAUAAACUUGUACAAAACAUACUCUUGGUUUAUACCAUAGACUGGACACAAAGUAAUUGUGCUGUUAUUGGGCUGAGUGAAGCCGUGGUGUUUUAUUGGGUCUGCUGCACAAUGUUUUGUCACAAAUCAGGAUUUGGUUGGGCGGCAGCUCAGUGGUAGAGCCCUUGCCCACCAUGUAGGAGGCAAUCAGCAUAGGUCUCCUGCAUUCAAAGUUGAGAAAGAUUUGUAAAAAUAUAGUUUUCAGUUCUUUUUAAAAAUCAGAUGUUCUAGCCGGGGAUUUAGCUCAGUGGUUCCGCUGCCUGCCUCGCAACCACAAGGUCCUGAGUUCAAUCCCUGGUACCCAAAAUAAAAAAAUCAGAUGUUCUAUAUGAAGUUCUAGAGUAGGCAAAACUAAUCCGUGAAAAAUCAGAACUGUGGUUGUGUGAUAUGGCAGAGAUUGGAUGGAGAUUAUCAAGCGAUAUUUCUCAGUAACAAGAAAUUCUUAAAUGCAUAGAAAUCCUCACUAAACCAUAUGCCUAUCCCAAUCUGCAUGUAAAUUGCAGCCUCAAUGUAAAGAAUGUCUUGAUUUUUACAUUUAAAGUAUUUUUAAUUGACAAAUCAUAAUUAUAUACAUGCAUGGGGUACGAUUUAAUGUUUUGAUCCAUGUACACAUUGUGGAGUGAUUUAAUCAGGCUAGUUAACAUAACCAUCACCUCAUUUACCUGACCUUUAUUAUAGUAAGAUUUGAAAUUUAUUCCCUUAAUUAUUUUGAUAGGAGUACAUUGUUAUUGGCUAUAUCACCCUCCUGUAAGCAGAUCUCAAAUCUUAUUCCUUUCUUAACUGAAACUUUGUAUCCUUUGCUCAACCAUGCCCCACUCCUCCCCCUGCCCUGCAGCCUCUGGUAACUCAUUAUGUUUCUAUGAGUUCAGCUUUUUAAAAGUUCAAUAUAGGGCCAGGGAUUUAGCUCAGUGGUUUCGCUGCCUGCUGCACAAUCGCAUGGACCCGAGUUCGAUCUCCGGUACCAAAAAAAAAGUUCAAUAUAAAAGUGAAAGUGGGGGGUGUUAAUCUUUCUGUGGCUGAGUUAUUUCGCUUAGCAUACUGUUGCAUAUAGCUACCACGUCUUCUCUAUCCACCCACCAGCUGAUGGGCAUUGGGCUGUUUGCAUUUCUUGGCUACUGUGGAAAAGACUGCAGUGAAUGUGGGAGUACACACCAUCUCUCUGACGUAUUGAUCGCAUUUCCUUUGGAUAAUGCUCAGGAGUGGGAAUACCAGAU